rnacentral:sRNA from 1 species
UCCAAGGCAAGCAGCCAUGAUGAUGAGAAAAAGAAGAAAGGAGUAACAUACGACGGUU